rnacentral:rRNA from 1 species
GCUAGCUACAGGCUUAACACAUGCAAGUCGACGUUCAUCAGGAAGAAAGCUUGCUUUCUUUGCUGGCGACCGGCGCACGGGUGAGUAACACGUAUCCAACCUGCCCUUUACUCGGGGAUAGCCUUUCGAAAGAAAGAUUAAUACCCGAUGGCAUAAUGAUUCCGCAUGGUUUCAUUAUUAAAGGAUUCCGGUAAAGGAUGGGGAUGCGUUCCAUUAGGUUGUUGGUGGGGUAACGGCUCACCAAGCCUUCGAUGGAUAGGGGUUCUGAGAGGAAGGUCCCCCACAUUGGAACUGAGACACGGUCCAAACUCCUACGGGAGGCAGCAGUGAGGAAUAUUGGUCAAUGGGCGCUAGCCUGAACCAGCCAAGUAGCGUGAAGGAUGAAGGCUCUAUGGGUCGUAAACUUCUUUUAUAUAAGAAUAAAGUGCAGUAUGUAUACUGUUUUGUAUGUAUUAUAUGAAUAAGGAUCGGCUAACUCCGUGCCAGCAGCCGCGGUAAUACGGAGGAUCCGAGCGUUAUCCGGAUUUAUUGGGUUUAAAGGGAGCGUAGGUGGACUGGUAAGUCAGUUGUGAAAGUUUGCGGCUCAACCGUAAAAUUGCAGUUGAUACUGUCAGUCUUGAGUACAGUAGAGGUGGGCGGAAUUCGUGGUGUAGCGGUGAAAUGCUUAGAUAUCACGAAGAACUCCGAUUGCGAAGGCAGCUCACUGGACUGCAACUGACACUGAUGCUCGAAAGUGUGGGUAUCAAACAGGAUUAGAUACCCUGGUAGUCCACACAGUAAACGAUGAAUACUCGCUGUUUGCGAUAUACAGUAAGCGGCCAAGCGAAAGCAUUAAGUAUUCCACCUGGGGAGUACGCCGGCAACGGUGAAACUCAAAGGAAUUGACGGGGGCCCGCACAAGCGGAGGAACAUGUGGUUUAAUUCGAUGAUACGCGAGGAACCUUACCCGGGCUUAAAUUGCAGUGGAAUGAUGUGGAAACAUGUCAGUGAGCAAUCACCGCUGUGAAGGUGCUGCAUGGUUGUCGUCAGCUCGUGCCGUGAGGUGUCGGCUUAAGUGCCAUAACGAGCGCAACCCUUAUCUUUAGUUACUAACAGGUCAUGCUGAGGACUCUAGAGAGACUGCCGUCGUAAGAUGUGAGGAAGGUGGGGAUGACGUCAAAUCAGCACGGCCCUUACGUCCGGGGCUACACACGUGUUACAAUGGGGGGUACAGAAGGCAGCUAGCGGGUGACCGUAUGCUAAUCCCAAAAUCCUCUCUCAGUUCGGAUCGAAGUCUGCAACCCGACUUCGUGAAGCUGGAUUCGCUAGUAAUCGCGCAUCAGCCACGGCGCGGUGAAUACGUUCCCGGGCCUUGUACACACCGCCCGUCAAGCCAUGGGAGCCGGGGGUACCUGAAGUACGUAACCGCAAGGAUCGUCCUAGGGUAAAACUGGUAA